rfam:Stomoxys calcitrans breed 8C7A2A5H3J4 unplaced genomic scaffold Scaffold90, whole genome shotgun sequence.
UCCAGUUAUGGUGACAUGGUACCGGAAACAAUAGCUGGCAAAAUUGUGGGAGGUGUCUGCUCGCUCAGUGGUGUACUUGUGAUCGCCUUACCCGUACCUGUUAUUGUAUCUAAC